rnacentral:rRNA from 1 species
GAUGAACGCUGGCGGCGUGCCUAAUACAUGCAAGUCGAGCGAACAGACGAGGAGCUUGCUCCUCUGACGUUAGCGGCGGACGGGUGAGUAACACGUGGAUAACCUACCUAUAAGACUGGGAUAACUUCGGGAAACCGGAGCUAAUACCGGAUAAUAUAUUGAACCGCAUGGUUCAAUAGUGAAAGACGGUUUUGCUGUCACUUAUAGAUGGAUCCGCGCCGCAUUAGCUAGUUGGUAAGGUAACGGCUUACCAAGGCGACGAUGCGUAGCCGACCUGAGAGGGUGGUCGGCCACACUGGAACUGAGACACGGUCCAGACGCCUACGGGAGGCAGCAGUAGGGAAUCUUCCGCAAUGGGCGAAAGCCUGACGGAGCAACGCCGCGUGAGUGAUGAAGGUCUUCGGAUCGUAAAACUCUGUUAUGAGGGAAGAACAAAUGUGUAAGUAACUAUGCACGUCUUGACGGUACCUAAUCAGAAAGCCACGGCUAACUACGUG